rnacentral:rRNA from 1 species
AAUAGAUACCCUGGUAGUCCUAGCCGUAAACGAUACUCGCUAGGUGUCGGCCACGGUGCGACCGUUGUCGGUGCCGUAGGGAAGCCGUGAAGCGAGCCACCUGGGAAGUACGGCCGCAAGGCUGAAACUUAAAGGAAUUGGCGGGGGAGCACCACAACGGGUGGAGCUUGCGGUUUAAUUGGAUUCAACGCCGGAAAUCUUACCGGGACCGACAGCAACAUGAAGGCCAGGCUGAAGACUUUGCCGGAUUAGCUGAGAGGUGGUGCAUGGCCGUCGUCAGUUCGUACUGUGAAGCAUCCUGUUAAGUCAGGCAACGAGCGAGACCCACGCCCACAGUUGCCAGCGUACUCUCUGGAGUGACGGGUACACUGUGGGGACCGCCGCUGCUAAAGCGGAGGAAGGAAUGGGCAACGGUAGGUCAGUAUGCCCCGAAUAUCCCGGGCUACACGCGAGCUACAAUGGUUGGUACAAUGGGUAUCUACCCCGAAAGGGGAUGGAAAUCUCCUAAAGCCAAUCUUAGUUCGGAUUGAGGGCUGCAACUCG